UACAGAGGUCUCAAGCGUUGUUCGGAUUCAUUGGGCGUAAAGGGUGCGUAGGCGGCGCGGUAAGUCGGGUGUGAAAUCUUGGAGCUUAACUCCGAAACUGCAUUCGAUACUGCCGUGCUUGAGGACUGGAGAGGAGACUGGAAUUUACGGUGUAGCGGUGAAAUGCGUAGAUAUCGUAAGGAAGACCAGUGGCGAAGGCGGGUCUCUGGACAGUUCCUGACGCUGAGGCACGAAGGUCAGGGGAGCAAACAGG
rnacentral:rRNA from 1 species